rnacentral:rRNA from 1 species
GUCCCCUACGGGGCGCAGCAGUGGGGGAUAUUGCACAAUGGGGGGGACCCUGAUGCAGCGACGCCGCGUGGGUGAAGAAGCGCCUCGGCGCGUAAAGCCCUGUCAGCAGGGAAGAAAAUGACGGUACCUGAAGAAGAAGCCCCGGCUAACUACGUGCCAGCAGCCGCGGUAAUACGUAGGGGGCAAGCGUUAUCCGGAUUUACUGGGUGUAAAGGGGGCGCAGACGGCGAUGCAAGACAGGCGUGAAAGCCCGGGGCCCAACCCCGGGGCGGCUCUUGGAACUG